rnacentral:rRNA from 1 species
AGAGUUUGAUCAUGGCUCAGAUUGAACGCUGGCGGCAGGCUUAACACAUGCAAGUCGAACGGUAACAGGAAGGAAGCUUGCUUUCUUUGCUGACGAGUGGCGGACGGGUGAGUAAUGCUUGGGAAUCUGGCUUAUGGAGGGGGAUAACUACGGGAAACUGUAGCUAAUACCGCGUAAUAUCUUCGGAUUAAAGGGUGGGACCGUAAGGCCACCUGCCAUAAGAUGAGCCCAAGUGGGAUUAGGUAGUUGGUGGGGUAAAGGCCUACCAAGCCGACGAUCUCUAGCUGGUCUGAGAGGAUGACCAGCCACACUGGAACUGAGACACGGUCCAGACUCCUACGGGAGGCAGCAGUGGGGAAUAUUGCACAAUGGGGGGAACCCUGAUGCAGCCAUGCCGCGUGAAUGAAGAAGGCCUUCGGGUUGUAAAGUUCUUUCGGUGAUGAGGAAGGCGGUUGUUUUAAUAGAACAAUCGAUUGACGUUAGUCACAGAAGAAGCACCGGCUAACUCCGUGCCAGCAGCCGCGGUAAUACGGAGGGUGCGAGCGUUAAUCGGAAUGACUGGGCGUAAAGGGCACGCAGGCGGUGACUUAAGUGAGAUGUGAAAGCCCCGGGCUUAACCUGGGAAUUGCAUUUCAUACUGGGUCGCUAGAGUAUUUUAGGGAGGGGUAGAAUUCCACGUGUAGCGGUGAAAUGCGUAGAGAUGUGGAGGAAUACCGAAGGCGAAGGCAGCCCCUUGGGAAUAUACUGACGCUCAUGUGCGAAAGCGUGGGGAGCAAACAGGAUUAGAUACCCUGGUAGUCCACGCUGUAAACGCUGUCGAUUUGGGGAUUGGGCUUUAAGCUUGGUGCCCGUAGCU